AGCGUCUCGCGAGAGCAAAACGGGAGUUCGGGACCAGCCGAGGGGCGGGGCCGGGUGGGGACGCGGCGCUCUUGAUUGGGCCAGGUUUAGGCUGUUAUCCGGCCUCACACCAUACCGGAAAUUAAAUUAGAUGGGUCAAGACUAAGGUGGGAAAGGUUAAGACUGAAACUUCUCAAAGGAAACAGGAAAGGAUCUCCAUGAACUUGAGGUCAGAUGGCUUCUGCGCUUUCAUGGAGGCAGUGGCUGGUCACUUUUCUGACCAUGAAGAGUUGUCCGGUUCGUUUUCAAACUACCAGAUUUCACCAAAAGAACCAGAACACGUCUCCUGCCGGCCGAUAGCCCUUUUCCACGACUAAGAACGUCUGCGGGAUGUUGGCACUCUGUGGAAAAAGACAACCGGAAGGAGCAUCAGCAGGUUUGUCCUCGUCCCCGGACCCCCCACACGAGGUGCAACCUCCCACAUUACACUACCCAGCGGGGACCACGU